rnacentral:rRNA from 1 species
AUUGAACGCUGGCGGCAGGCCUAACACAUGCAAGUCGAGCGAGCGGCGGACGGGUGAGUAAUGUCUGGGGAUCUGCCCGAUAGAGGGGGAUAACUACUGGAAACGGUGGCUAAUACCGCAUACUCUCGGUUGAACCCACAUAGGAUUAGCUAGUAGGUGGGGUAAAGGCUCACCUAGGCGACGAUCGAUAGCUGGUCUGAGAGGAUGACCAGCAACACUGGAACUGAGACACGGCCCAGACUCCUACGGGAGGCAGCAGUGGGGAAUAUUGGACAAUGGGCGCAAGCCUGAUGCAGCCAUGCCGCGUGUAUGAAGAAGGCCUUAGGGUUGUAAAGUACUUUAAGCGGGGAGGCGUUACCCGCAGAAGAAGCACCGGCUAACUCCGUGCCAGCAGCCGCGGUAAUAC